UACGUAGGUGGCAAGCGUUGUCCGGAUUUACUGGGUGUAAAGGGCGUGCAGCCGGAGAGACAAGUCAGAUGUGAAAUCCACGGGCUCAACCCGUGAACUGCAUUUGAAACUGUUUCCCUUGAGUGUCGGAGAGGUAAUCGGAAUUCCUUGUGUAGCGGUGAAAUGCGUAGAUAUAAGGAAGAACACCAGUGGCGAAGGCGGAUUACUGAACGAUAACUGACGGUGAGGCGCGAAAGCGUGGGGAGCAAACAGG
rnacentral:rRNA from 1 species